GAUCCAAUAGUGGCUUCAUUCUCUGGAGGAGCAGUUGGGGUGAUCUCAGCCUUGAUGGUAGUUGAGAUAAACAAUGUAAAACAACAGGAACAUAAAAGAUGCAAAUAUUGUCUUGGAACUGGUUAUCUUGCUUGUGCUCGUUGCUCUAGCACUGGAUCUCUUGUUCUCAUCGAACCAGUUUCAACAGUCAAUGGUGGAGAUCAGCCACUGUCAGCACCCAAAAUGGACAGAUGUUCAAAUUGUUCAGGAUCUGGAAAGGUCAUGUGCCCCACAUGUCUUUGCACUGGAAUGGCUAUGGCUAGUGAACACGACCCAAGGAUUGACCCCUUCGAUUAGACAUGUAGUAUAACAAUUCUGUCAGUAGAGUUGCGUGGUGGAUGAGAUGAACACAGCUCAAGGAUUGAUCCUUGGCCAGAGUAGAUGCGUAUGAUUCUCUCGCCCUUUCUGUGCCGUAUAUUUCCACUGUAUAAGAAGGCUUAAUGUCUCCUUGUCAUGUCCGUGUUUACAGAAAAUUGCAAUUGACUUUUUAUGUUUCAUCGUUUUUAGCAUUGAAAAUAGUACGGGCAUUUCUAUAUGAACUAUGAUAAUAAUGAUGACAACCCAUUUUAAGGGUCAUAAAGAAAUGCCCGUACUAUUUUCAAUGCUAA
rnacentral:misc_RNA from 1 species